GACGAACGCUGGCGGCGUGCCUAGUACAUGCAAGUCGAACGAGAGCGACCGGUGCUUGCACUGGUCAAUCUAGUGGCGAACGGGUGAGUAACACGUGGGUAACCUGCCCAUCAGAGGGGGAUAACAUCCGGAAACGGAUGCUAAAACCGCAUAGGUCUUCGAGCCGCAUGGCUUGAAGAGGAAAAGAGGCGCAAGCUUCUGCUGAUGGAUGGACCCGCGGUGCAUUAGCUAGUUGGUGAGGUAACGGCUCACCAAGGCCGUGAUGCAUAGCCGACCUGAGAGGGUGAUCGGCCACAUUGGGACUGAGACACGGCCCAAACUCCUACGGGAGGCAGCAGUAGGGAAUCUUCCGCAAUGGACGCAAGUCUGACGGAGCAACGCCGCGUGAGUGAAGAAGGUUUUCGGAUCGUAAAACUCUGUUGUUAGAGAAGAACAAGUGCUAGAGUAACUGUUAGCGCCUUGACGGUAUCUAACCAGAAAGCCACGGCUAACUACGUG
rnacentral:rRNA from 1 species